rnacentral:rRNA from 1 species
GACGAACGCUGGCGGCGUGCUUAACACAUGCAAGUCGAACGAAGUGGCGAACGGGUGAGUAACGCGUAAUCAACCUGCCCUUCAGAGGGGGACAGCAGUUGGAAACGACUGCUAAUAACGCAUACUGAAGGAGGGGAUUGCGUCUGAUUAGCUAGUUGGAGGGGUAACGGCCCUCAAAGGCGAUGAUCAGUAGCAGGUCGGAGUGGAGAAUCGGCAACAUUGGGACUGAGACACGGCCCAGACUCCUACGGGAGGCAGCAGUGGGGAAGCUUCCGAAAUGGACGAAAGUCUGACCGAGCAACGCCGCGUGAGUGAAGAAGGUUUUCGGAUCGUAAAACUCUGUUGUUAGAGAAGCGGUAUCUAACCAGAAAGCCACGGCUAACUACGUGCCAGCAGCCGCGGUAAUAC